GUGCUCGCUUUGGCAGCACAUAUACUAAAAUUGGAACGAUACAGAGAAGAUUAGCAUGGCUCCUGCACAAGGAUGACACACAAAUUCGUGAAGCGUUCCAUAUUUUU
ensembl:snRNA U6 U6 spliceosomal RNA